AAAUUCCCUUCGAACGGAACGUUCCAUGGGGGUUUGCCCAUAAAACAUAUUUGACAGAUGAGGAGAGUACUUUAGAAAAAUGGAUUCUAUAAUAGAAAUGGUUGCAAAGCACUUUCAUAUUACUAGAUAGUGUCCAACGCAUUAUUAUUGAUUAGAAAAAGAAUCAUUCUCCAUUUACUUACAAUAGACCGCUAAGGAAAUGGUAAAAGUUGUUUCUAAAUAGACAUCCUACACUGUCUGAGAGAACGCCGCAAAAUUUAAAGAUAGUACAAGUUAAUAGUACAAGAAGAACAAAUAAAGUGUUGAUGGUUUUAA